AUUGAACGCUGGCGGCAUGCUUUACACAUGCAAGUCGAGCGGCAGCGCGGGGCAACCUGGCGGCGAGCGGCGAACGGGUGAGGAACACAUCGGAACGUACCCGAGAGUGGGGGAUAACGCCGCGAAAGCGGCGCUAAUACCGCAUAUUCUCUUUGGAGGAAAGUGGGGGACCGCAAGGCCUCACGCUCACGGAGCGGCCGAUGUCCGAUUAGCUAGUUGGUGGGGUAAAGGCUUACCAAGGCGACGAUCGGUAGCUGGUCUGAGAGGAUGAUCAGCCACACUGGGACUGAGACACGGCCCAGACUCCUAAGGGAGGCAGCAGUGGGGAAUCUUGGACAAUGGGGGCAACCCUGAUCCAGCCAUGCCGCGUGCGGGAAGAAGGCCUUCGGGUUGUAAACCGCUUUUAGCCGGGAAGAAAAGGCGAUUCCUAAUAGGGGUCGUUCUUGACGGUACCGGCGGAAUAAGCACCGGCUAACUACGUGCCAGCCGCCGCCGUAA
rnacentral:rRNA from 1 species